rnacentral:misc_RNA from 1 species
GUAGGUGAACCUGCGGAAGGAUCAUUCAUAAUAAAGUGUUUUAUGGCACUUUUUAAAAAUUCAUAUCCACCUUGUGUGCAAUGUUAGAUCUCGUCAAUCUUGGCGAGAUUUUUAUACAUCAACUCAUUCUUUAACUAAUUUGUCUGAAAAAUAUUAUGAAUACUUAAUUCAAAAUACAACUUUCAACAACGGAUCUCUUGGCUCUC